rnacentral:rRNA from 1 species
AUUCGCGGCCUAUCAGCUUGUUGGUGGGGUAACGGCCCACCAAGGCGACGACGGGUAGCUGGCGUGAGAGCGUGGUCAGCCACACUGGGACUGAGACACGGCCCAGACUCCUACGGGAGGCAGCAGUGGGGAAUCUUGCGCAAUGGGCGAAAGCCUGACGCAGCGACGCCGCGUGGGGGACGAAGGCCUUCGGGUUGUAAACCCCUUUCAGCGGGGGCGAAGCGAAAGUGACGGUACCUGCAGAAGAAGCCCCGGCUAACUACGUGCCAGCAGCCGCGGUAGGACGUAGGGGGCGAGCGUUGUCCGGAAUUAUUGGGCGUAAAGCGCGCGCAGGCGGCCCGGUAAGUCGGUUGUGAAAACCCGGGGCUCAACCCCGGGCCUGCUGCCGAUACUGCCGGGCUCGAGGCAGGUAGGGGAGAGUGGAAUUCCCGGUGUAGCGGUGAAAUGCGCAGAUAUCGGGAGGAACACCGGUGGCGAAGGCGGCUCUCUGGGCCUGUCCUGACGCUCAGGCGCGAAAGCUGGGGGAGCAAACAGGAUUAGAUACCCUGGUAGUCCCAGCCGUAAACGAUGGGUGCUAGGUGUGGGGAGCAUCAACCCUCUCCGUGCCGGAGCUAACGCAUUAAGCACCCCGCCUGGGGAGUACGGAAUCGUCGACCUGCAGGCCCUCC